GGAGGAACCUCUGGAGAGAGCCGUUAAUUCGGCCGCCGAAGGAGCAAACCUAUCACCCCAAAAGUGACAGGUGAAACUCUCAGGCAAAAGGACAGAGGAGUGGAA
rnacentral:ncRNA from 2 species